GACGUAGGGCGCGAGCGUUGUCCGGAUUUAUUGGGCGUAAAGAGCUCGUAGGCGGCUUGUCGCGUCAACUGUGAAGACCCGUGGCUCAACCAUGUGGUCUGCAGUCGAUACGGGCAGGCUAGAAUUCGGUAGGGGAGACUGGAAUUCCUGGUGUAGCGGUGAAAUGCGCAGAUAUCAGGAGGAACACCGGUGGCGAAGGCGGGUCUCUGGGCCGAUAUUGACGCUGAGGAGCGAAAGCGUGGGGAGCGAACAGG
rnacentral:rRNA from 1 species